UUUCUUCUCUAUUACACUAUAUCAUUUUAUGCUGGUAGUUUACCAUCUUGGUCAUUUCGUAUAUGCCGUUAUUUGUAAGCAUUUAUCUUGCUGUGGAUUGAGGGUUCGGGCUGGAAUUUAAUUUGGUGGCUUCUGACCUGUAACUUCUCCUGUUAUGUUUAACUUUGAAAUGCUUUCAAACAAUUUGGCUUGUGAGUUAUAAAUUAAUCGCCUUUUUUCGUUCUGGGUCUGAUUACUGAGCCGGGAGGGAAAAUAAAGAAGGAAUCUCAGCACCGAUUAAGCUCAUUUUUACUACUGCUUCCGUUGGUACAGCCAGAGAGGAACUCAAACAUUGUCUCCCGAUCUAUUAUUUCAAGAUGGAAUUGAACUGCUAGGACAAUUUGAAUGAUUACGUUCAUCAUUCAAAUGGUAAAAUUCCAUUGCAAAAUGCAGAGCCUAAUUCUAUAAUGCUCUACUUAAUAUUUUCCAAUAAAUGUUGUAUUUGAAAUUUUAGAUUUGAUUAAAAAUAAGGAGUAACCACCACCCUCUUGUUAGAGUUUAAAUGUGAGGUGUGAGAAAGUGGUAAAAAAUUGUGGAAUAAAACUGUUGUGUGGAUAAAUGGUGCAUAAGAUCUUGUGAGGUGCUUGCUUUAGCAGUAUUAUGCUGCAAAUUUAUUGUAUUUGAUAACUUGUAUCAUUGAAUCAGCAUGUUCAAGCUAAUGCUCAUUACGAGCGAAUGUUCACUUCUCUCAUAUAAUUUGGAAUUAGGGUUUAAAAAUAGAAUGAAAUAUCUUUAGUUUUUCUAAGUGGUCAUUUGGGCUUGGGUGCAGGUGAUUUUGAGCGAGUAACAGGACACACAUCAAAAGUAAAAGUGCACACAUAUGGCACACAGUUUGUUAUUACUGGAUUCAACUAUAUGUUUUUGACUUUUUGUGCAACUGGUGCUGAAAUUUGCAUAUUUUGUUAUCUAUAAAGGUACAGGUGAUUUGGGCGAGCGACCCAGUUUCACAACGGAGGGGAGGAG
rnacentral:misc_RNA from 1 species